GUCUUUGCAAACACUCAAUUGAUACCUAUCUAAAAAUUAUCUAACAAAAUUCUAUAAAAAUUGCGAUCCCUCUCGCCUAUCUAAUUAAUCAAUUACCGCAGUAUCUGUUAUUGGUUCCACUGAUUCCGAUUCCAAUUGCAAAUCUUCAUCCUCUUCCAAUCCUUCUAUUGGCUCUUGCCUCAACUGAGGUGAAAGGUCUUCAUUGUACUCACCCAGUUCAUGGACUUGAGCUUCCAAUUUCAGGAUCUAGGCAUCUCUCAAUUCCAACUAGCCCUGAAAGUGACUCUUCU
rnacentral:lncRNA from 1 species